UGUGCACAAUAAUGCACAUACUGAAAAUAUAAAGUGGCAGUGUAAGAAACAUUGAGAUUACACAAAAAUCCUCAUGUUGUUGCAUAUCUAUGAUAUCUAAAGAUCUUUGCUCAACAAUAUUUGACUAUGCAUUUAAUUAUGUGAAAAGGAAGAACUUUUUAACUGUAAACCUUAAGGUUGAUUCACAGUGCUGCCACUUAGCUGCAGCAAUGCUUAAUAUGGUCACAGGAUCAUUUGUUAACACUGUACUUUCCCAACUGUCCCAACCAACCUUUAUUUUUAUGAUGUGGUGUAAUCUUCCAUGUUCUUUGAACAAAUAAUUACCUUCAAGUAAACCUUCAACGAAUCAACUAGAGGGGGAGCCCAUCCUUGCAACCUGAAUGCUGCUGUGCUAACAGAUUUUGACUCCUGUUGACAAGGUUUUCACUUUUUCCAGCAUCCACAGUAUUGGCCUUCACUUGACUAAAAUCAAGACGACAAGACUUAAAUAUGGAACUCUGCUGUCGAUGCUACCUUUUUCUCUGUAGCCAGAGAGGUAAUUCAAAUUUGGGGCCUAUUUGAUCAGAGCAAAUAAUGUUACUUCUGAUUUGAAAAACUGGCAAUAUUGACCAGAUCUGUCACAAACUAGUUUUCUGUCAAAUUUGACAUCUUUUGCCUUUCAAGUCUUAUCACAUGAUGGCAUUGAUGACAAACAUUGAACAGGAGUAUGGAAGUGUAUUCUUGGUUAUUACUUGUGUAUAUGGAGAAUAUUUCUGAAAAGUAAUUUGAGGUUCAGACAAGAACAAGUGAACUUUGAGAGGACAGUAGUAGAGGUGGAAGCAUUACUCUACACAUAAAUAAUCACACAUAAUAAGCUGCAAUAUGUGUACUGAUUUACACUCUUAACAUUGUGUUUGCAACUCUUUGAAAAAAAAAAAAGAUUUACAUGUGAUUCAUGAGGCUUCAUUGAUGUUUGUACAGUGACCUGGGCUAAUGAGUAAUGGAUCAUUUGGAUAUUAAUUUUGUAACAAGUUGCUAAGAGUUGUUUCGUUCCAAAGUUUGCAUAAACUGUGUCCAGUGGUAUCUUUUUUUUUUUAGUACAUAUAGCUUUGGAUCUUAAAGUUAGCCUUAGAGAUAUCCAGAUCUUUUGAAAAAUUUAAAAUGGCUCUGGUCAAUAUUUUAAAAAACGGUAGUUAGAAAAAAAGACUGAAUAAGGGUAACGUGGUAAAAUCAUCUUAAGUUACUGGAACUUUUGAAAUCAGACUCAGUAUGAGCUGUUGCACGCACAAUGUAUAAAGGCACACUUUGUUCACACAAAGAUUUAAUGUGGUGUUACAGCUCAUGUCUGGCUGUUAAAAGUACAUAGAAACGGGGCAAAAUGUGAAAACUGAAUCAAACCAGGUAAAAUUCUGCUUUGCAUUCUGUCUGAGCACAACUUCACAGCUAUUGUAUAAGAUAUUACGAGUGGUUUUUACCCCCCGACCUGAGUUUAAUAACCUCAUUUGUUCAAGUUGUCCAAUUGGAGCCCAACUCUUCUUCUUUGACUGGUAUCUGAGAGGGCAGAGGUGCUUUCCGAUUGGGUGUUUCAGACAAAUAAAAGUGAAAACAGACACAUGAAUUCUGUUGUUCUAAGGAGAUAAAAAUCACAUUGACAUCAUUUACUCAGGGAACAUACAUGGAACAUUUAUUGCUGUGUUGUCAGGCUUAACCUUUUGAUGCCAUGUUCAUUGACAACUAUUCGUCUUAAAAAGAUAUAAGACAAUAUAUCUUUGAAGCUAAAACAGCCCUUGGUUACUUUUCCUUUUCAUCUUCAUCCUUAUACCACAAGUAUCCUCUUCACUGACAAACAGGACACUUCAGGGAAAGGCAAGUCACUUUACCUGAAGUUAUUUACACACAAGCACACACCCCCUCUCACACAUAUAAUUGUCUUGCCCAUUAAAAACAAACUCUUUAUGAUAAAACAUAGUCAUCAUUGUGAUUUUGCAUGAUAAAUGAGGUUGAAACCUCACAUUUUCCCACACCGCCUCCAUGUUUUGUUCAUUCUUGGAAAAAAUUCAAACUAUGGUUAUUAUUUAAAACAACAGUCUACCUCAGGCAUCAGAAUCCUCUUUUUGAAUGAAGCAAUACUCUAAAUGGCUGAAACCAAAAUAAGUUUUCAUUAAAAGAGAGAGAGAAAAAAAACUUUGUAAUUUUUUUUUUUAAAUUAAACAAUAAAAUUAGAAAGGGUUGCUACAAUGAGAUGGAGAAGAUGAGUGCAUCAAAGUAUCAUGUGAUAAAGUAGCAUACUCUAUUGCAAUCCCAGAACCAUGCUUAAGGUGCAGUAGGGUGCCCAUGACCGAUAUGUUGUGAUGUAACUCUAAAAUUAAAGCUUUCAUCAUGAUGGUUUAUGCUGUCAGAGGUUUUCAGUCAUGAGGCUACAAGCAAAGAAUGUUGCAGCCAUGUUUGUGAGCUAGAAUGUCCACAAGUGGUGAGUGAAUAUGGCUGUUCCCAUUUCUGAUCGUCCACAGACUUCAACUCAUGGGAAACCAAGACA